AACUCCGGGAAACCGGGGCUAAUACCGGAUAAUACAUGAAACCGCAUGGUUUCAUGAUGAAAGACGGUUUUGCUGUCACUUAUAGAUGGACCCGCGGCGUAUUAGCUAGUUGGUAAGGUAACGGCUUACCAAGGCAACGAUACGUAGCCGACCUGAGAGGGUGAUCGGCCACACUGGAACUGAGACACGGUCCAG
rnacentral:rRNA from 1 species